UCAUAGCUGAUGAUGAGGUGGACCUGACCUC
rnacentral:piRNA from 1 species